GGCAGUGUUGCUCAGUGGUACAGCACUUACCUGGUUUGUAUGAGAUCCUGAGUUUGAUCCUCGGCACUCUGA
rnacentral:tRNA from 1 species